UCUUCUGUUGUGACGACGAAUUCAUGAAUGGAGAUCUAGUGCCUCAUGAACAUGAGGUAAGAGCAAGUUAUUUUUAAGGUUUCUCUUCUAUGAUUACUAUAUCGGAUGCUUAAGACUUACUGUAAACAUCCAACAGCCUUUGAAGGAGAACUAAAAGCAACCAUCCAGAAAUUUUCUGAAGUAGUGAAAGCUGCAGGUGAGCCUCUUGUACGGCUUAAAGAAGCAGAAGAAGGCGUCAUUACUGCACAGGUGCUUAUGUCAUCC
rnacentral:lncRNA from 1 species